GAGGAAGGGAGAUGAGUAAUAAAAGGAAAAAGAGAAAACUAGUAAAAAGAUAAGAAAAAAUAGACUUAAAAAUAGAAAGAUGAGGAAAAAAAAGAGAAAAGGAAUAAUGAAUAGAAAAAGUGAGCGUCGGCUACAAAAAUAACCAGAAAAGAGAGAGAGAGAGAGAGAGAGAGAGAGAGAGAGAGAGAGAGAGAGAGAGAGAGAGAGAGAGAGAGAGAGAGAGAGAGAGAGAGAGAGAGAGAGAGAGAGAG